rnacentral:lncRNA from 1 species
CUGUGCUACCACCUUCUUUUUUUCCCUAAAUACCUUUUUGUGGAUGGCCUGGGAUGCAGAGUUAGGGGCACAGGAGGACUUUGUCCCGGCUGCACAAGCAUUAUGCAAUGCUUUUCUUCUUCUUUCCCUGUGUCCUGAACCUCCUUGCUUCUAAGACAAACUUCUCACAUUCCUCAGUCCUGGUGUUGUCAUAGAAGAGGUGGACCCUAGCAAAGCAGUAUUGUUGCAUCCCUCAUGAAAGGAAGUAGAGGCUCAGUGUGAAAAACUAUGUGGAACAACACCUGCUAUAAUAGGCCUGAGUCUGGAGGUGGAGCAGCUAUGUGCUUUGCAUCUGGCAACUGAAAUGUGGUAGGCAUCUGGGACAGCACAGCACAGGAUGAGAGAGCUGGGCAGGGGAACCUGCUAUGCACACAGUGGGGAGCAUGGAUGUGGAGAAACACAGCGUAAGGUGACAAGGAGGUGCGGAUAAUUUAUGUGUUAACAUGCAGCUUCCCAAAGACAUUUGAAAGUUAUGCCUUCAGCAAGGAAAGACUUCUCAAUCCAUUUUAGAUUUUACAGAUGAUGUGUUUUAUUGUCUUUGCAGGCUCAUCUUUUCCUUCAGAAGUUUUGCUCACAGAACGGAAGCAGAACAUCUGUGUCUUCCUUCUUCCAACCCAUCCGUUCUCCGUGAUUUAUGUAGUGAGGUAGUGAGAGGACUUAAAGCCAGUCCCAAACAGAGCUUGCAAACUAGGACAAUGAGAAUGGAAGGUUAGCCACGAAGCAGAUGUACCAAGAAGAACCAGGAGGAACUGCCAUCCAAGAGGAACUGAAAUGUUACAAGCAUUACGCUGGGCCCAUUUGUCCCAUCUCUUCCCCCACCAACAGCCCAGUGAAGGCAGAAGACUUCCUGCAUGAAGAAGGGGCAGCAAGUGACAGAAAAUUAAAAGUUCAAGCAAGGUAAUUCAGCUCCUUAGUCUCUGAGUGGAUUUAUUCCAGUUGCACACCAUGUAAAAUCAAGGUAAAAACCUGAGACCUAAUUAUCAAAGGCUGGGUGAGAGACGGUGCUCCAUAUUGUUCCUAGACAGAAAUGGUAGUUGGAGUUAUGAGUGUAUUGAAUGAGCUAUGAAACAAAUUUGGAAAAUCUGACCUGUGAGAUUAUUGUCAGCAGUGAUCUGCUGCCAAGCAGCUUAUUCUUAUUUAUUCCAC